rnacentral:lncRNA from 1 species
GUCGUGUGAAGGGAAGGGGAAGUAGGGGGCUUCUCUGCAUCUUAAACCACACAGAGGGAAGUCCCAAAAGAAUCACUGCCUGAGACUGGAGGUGCCUACAGGAAUAGAGGCUGGUUACUUUCUCCUCAACUGCAGCAACCUACAGCUCACCUGGGUGCACCACUGCACAACUAGGGGAGAGUUCUGGGCAAAUGACAGCUGCCUACUUACCUUUGGCUGGAGCCACACAUGAUAGAAGGUGGGAAGAGAGGGGUCGGCCGAUGGGUAAGCUGUACUCCUACCAUUUGGUAGGUCAAAGAUGCCUGAAUUUCCCGAGAGCCAAGUGGAUGUUGUGGGAAGUAGCAACACUAAAGCUGUUUUGAUGAGAUUCAACCCAAGAAGGCUGCCUGCUUGGAGAUGGGACACCACCAAAAUGGCCAGAAAGCUAUUGUGUCUGCUCAAGCCAGUCCUCAGGGGCAAGUCAGAGGGAUUCUAUGUAACAUGAUGGAUAGCAGGAGCAGAGGUAAGAGAAAAAUAAAGUGGUUUCUUCUUUCAAGUUCAGCCCCAUCCAGUAAACCAGUAGACAUAUAAAAUAACGAUUUUUCUAUCUCUACAAAAGAGUUCAAGAGAGAAACAAACAGAAAUGAGUGGAUAUCUCUGCAACGAGGAGGGAUAAAUGGACAGAGACCUUUACUUUUCAGGUUUUUUGUCCUGUAUUAUUUCAAUGUUUCAUAACAAGCUUGUAUUACUUUUAUAACUAAAAGAAUUAAUUUUCUUAAAAUGUGGGUGUUAACCACAUGUCAAGCCCAGAAUCCUGUAGUGUUUCCCUCAGUUAGUGAGUUUUAGGAGAAGACAGUUUGCUCAAUGAUGUGCUGGUAAAUGCGCUGCAGGGUGAGACAGUAUGGUGAUUUGUAGUGUCUGCUGAUAUUUCCAUGGCAUAAAGACUCCCACCACGAUUGAUUUCAAGCUACCAACAGUUUGACAAGUGGCUCACAAAAUUCCUGGAUAUUCAGCAGCUUAACAGCUGGCUUGCCAAAUUCCUGGAUAUUUAACCAUUGGCUUUACCAGCUGUAGCACACCAGAAAAGCAUUGUGUGGGAGGCAGUGGCCAGAGCCCUUUCUCUGGCAACUCAUAUCCAGACUCUGUUAAUUACCAGCUGACUGACAGGCCAGCCUCUGCCCAGGAGUAAUGAAGGGUCACCUGUUUCAACAGCAGAAUGUCAGGGCAUUCCGGCAGGCCAGCCCUGUGACCCAGCAAGCUGCUCAUCUGGGCCAAGUGGAAGGUUCCGGGAGGGUUGGAAGGACAGAAACAGGCAGAAGAAUGUGUCAGAAGAGACAGAGGAGAAGGGCAAAACCAAACCUCAGACGUCAGUGACCUUCUGCAGCUGCAGAGCCCCUUCCACAGCAAGAAGUAAAACAACGUGGGAAAGUGACAAAGUCAAAUAUUCUUCAGCACACCAAUAAUUAGAAAAAAAUCUAAUUAUGACUGUAAUGACUAUAACUACAAUGUAUUGAAUGCUCACUCUGGGUAUGUGUUUGUGCUAAAACACUUUACGUCAAGUUCUUCAUUUACUCCUCAUAGCCAUCGCACAAGUUGUGUGACACCUGGAGUUGCAGUAGCUAUCUUGUGGCCUCAGGUGGCGGUCGUGAGGAUCAAGAUGCUAAAGAUGAUGAAGAUGAUGUUGGAGCCUGGGUCCUUGUUUAUGCUGUUGAGAUGACAUAGACUGCCUGUGUCUGAAAUGGUUGUGCAUAAACAAUAAAUGCUCUUUUGUCAAAAGCUAAUGUUAGCUGAGUAUUCUAUUUCUUGCAACCAAAAGCAUUUCCAAGGGAUAAAAUUGGGUAGGCUAGU